AUAUAGCAUUCUCAUCACACCUCACUUUCCAGCACCCUCACCCACAUCACAUUCUCUUGGUAACGGCUUCUAAGGCCGCUUGCUCGACUUCCAUGUUCCUGUCUCCUCCGGUUCCUGCGGUUCUUUCCCACUGUUUCCUCCUGACCAGAUCAAUCUUACUAGCACUGCAAACAUUGUCAUCCCCAUUUUAGAAAGUUUCUUGACUAUUUCCCUUGCCAGUUAGUAUGACUUCAUUCCUUCCUUCCUUUUCGUAGCAAAACUCAAAAGCCUUUCCUAUGGUUUCCGUCUUCAGUUAGCACCUGCCAUUUUCUCUUAAACCCUCUUUAGUCAGGUUUUACUCCUAUUCCACAGGAAUGUUGCUCGUGUUUCAUGGUGCUAAGUCACGUCACUUUUUUAACUUAAAACAUUAUGUCCAUUAUGGUUGUGGUGGUCCCUCCGUGUUCUCCUCAUGACCCAAACUGAUGGAAGUGCCACCAUGUGAAGUUUACACUCCAGCCAAGACAGUGAACACAGUAAAUAAGUCAGUUGUAUGUUAGGAGAUGAGAGCUUUGUAUUGAAGGUGGAGUCCAAUAAGGAUUGGGAGAGCUAGAAAAAUGUAUGUGCGUGCAGGUUACUGUAAUAAAUAGUGUGGCCAGGUCUCAUUGAGAAAUUGAAAUUUGAGCAGACUUGAAUGAGAAUGAGAGUCAGCCAAAAGGACCGCUAGUAUUCCAGGUGCAGAGAACAGUUUGAGGGAGGGCCCCAAGGUUCGGGCUUGUAGCGGGCCUGUUCGAACAUGAAGGAGGCUGGGGGCAAGAGCGGAGUGAUGGAGGGAGAGUAGUAAGAGAGGAGGUUGGAUGACCAUCUAGGGCCUUUUGGCCUUUACCCUGAGUGACAUAGUCUUGUGUUUUUAAGCAGAGGAGUAUUAUGAUGUACACUUAUAAAAAUAGCUUUAUUGGGGUAUUUUUAUACAAUAAAUUGUACCAAUUUUAAGAGUACAGUUUGACAUUUUGAUAAAUUAUACAGUUAUGUAACCAUCACCACAAUCAGGAUAAUGGAACAUUGUCACCCUGAAAAGCCCCUGUGUUGCUUUGCAGUUAAGCGCCUUAGCCCCUGGGCAAUUCUGCGUCUUCAUCUACCUGUGUAUCUCUCUGGGGUUAAUAUUUUGACAUAGUCGAUGACUGUGUUCUUUUUAACACUUACUUUGUUUAACUUCCAGGACACAACACUCUUGGUUUCCUACCCUCUCAGUUUCCUCCGCUGCUGCUGCUUCCUUUCUCUGACCUCUGAUGUUAGAGGAUCCAUCGUUCAGAUCUUGGUCUUUGGUGGAUUCAAAUGCCAUUCUGUAUACAAAAAUUCCCAAUUUAUGUCUCCAGUUCAGAUCUUCCUCCCAAACUCCAGGUUCAUAUUCUACUACUCAUUUGAUGUUUUUGCUUUGGUGUCUGAUAUUUCAAAUACAACUUGUAUAAAACAACCUCUGGUCCCCUGUUCGCUGCCUCCUUGGUCCCUUCCUGCAACUCCACCCUUUAGUUACUCUGUCCAAAAGCUUGGGGCUUGUACCCACAUUCAGUCCAUAGGAAAUCUUGUUGGCUCUGCUCCUCAGUCUCCCUGACUGCUGGCACCCUAGGCGGAGCCACCAUCACCUCACCUGGGUUUCCUAAGUUCUUUCAGAAGUGAUCUCCCUGCCUCUAAAUUGCCAUCUAUUCACAAAUUAGCAGCCAGAGUGAUCCUUUUAAACCAGAAAUCAGAUAAGGUCACAGCUGUCCCCCACCCCCAGGCUUUUCAUUUAGAGUAAGAGUCCAUGGGAAAGCCUGUGAAGCCAUGUGAUCUGCCCCCUUCCUCCUCUUAGCUCUGACUUUAUCUUACUCUUUUGCUCACUUGGGUUCAGCCACGUUACACUAGACUUUUUACAGAUCUAUUCAGCAUAUGCCAGGCCCCUCCCCACAUAGCAUCUGCACUAGCUAUUCCUCUAGCUAGUCCUUGCAGGCCUGUUUUGUUUUAAACAGCAGAUUUGGGGUUUUAAGGUAAAAAGGAAGCUGACAAGUUUUGGGGGCAGUAAAAAUGAGGCCAGGGCUCUAUCUCUUUUCUCCACGCUCCUCAUUUAGGUGGUGUCUCCAGUUCCCUUGGCUUUACCUGCUGUCCAGAUUCUGAAGAUUUCCAAAUGGGUAUCUCCAGCCCCAGACUUUCUCCUCUAUGCUCAAGCAAGCUGUGUCUGGCCAAGAGGCCAUGGAAGCUUGAUACUUGAACCUGUACCCUUGGUUCCUUCUAAUUUGGAUAAUCCCCAGUCUCUCCAAACAGGUGUAUGGAGUUUUUCUCUGAGGACAGUCGUCCUCAGUAGGUGCUUCCAGUUGUCAAGAGGAAGGGGUCAGAAGAGAAAAGAAAAACCUGAUUAUAUAAGAAGCGACAGGGGAGGAAGACCUCUUGGUGCUGCUGUUAACAGACAUUGGUUGGGUUUUUUCAUGUGCUAGAAACUGGUGAUCUCUGCAGUUUUCACAUGAAACCACCCCAUCCCGCCUUUAGUUUCCCUUGGGACCUGCAGUCCCUAGGCCAGUGAUGCUAAACACCCUGCAGGAUAAGCCUCCCUGCCCCGACAAAGAAUUAUCCAGUUCCAGAUAUCAGCAGCAUGAUGAUUGAAACCCUGUUCUAGGUGAUUUUAAUCAAUUCCCUUGGCUUUGUAUAACGUGAGGUAGUGCUAUCCCAUGUGAUAGCCAUAGCCACCUAUGGUGGUUGGUGUAAGUGUAAAAUACCCAUGGGAUUUCAAAAACAGUAUGGAAAAGAAUGUAAAGCAUUCAUUUUUCAUGAUUAUGUGUCAAAACGAUAACUUUGGAUUAUUGGGUUAAAUACAUUGUCAAAAAUCAUGUUAUUUUAAAUACAUGUUAAUCAUGUUAAUUUUACCUGUUUCUUUUUACUUUGCCAAAUGUGGCUGUUAGAUGUUUUCACAUUACAUAUAAGAUUUACAUUGAGGCUCAUUAUAUUUUGGUCAGAUAGUGCUGCUUUAGAUGCUGAAGACUCACAUUUACAUCUCUCGUCUCAAACCUCUGCUCGAAGUUCAGGGAUCCAAAGACCUACAGUAAGUCCUCACUUAACAUAAUUGAUAGUUUCAAGGAAACCAGUUUUACAAUAGGCUAAUUUACUUUAAAUAAGAGUUAAGUUCCUAUGACAUUUUCAUCAAUGUUACAGCAAAAGAACAUUGAACAAAGAUCUACAAUACUUGAGAGUUCUCCUUGGUUGUCAUAAUAUAUCUCAAACCUUUUACGUCCGAAGUAGAAUUCCUGAGUCUCCCAAAUAAUUUCUCCAACCUUUCCCAUCCUUUUAAAUGGUAUUACCAUCUACGUAGCUGCUCCAGCCAGAUUCCUGGUGGUCAUUCUUGGUUUUCCCCUCAUUUCUCAUCUCCCUCAUCCAUUCUUCAGCACAUAUUAUGAAAAAUGUUGCCACUUCUGUUCAUAUCUUUGCCACAGCUGUAGUCAAGAGCACACAGUCGUUUCCACCCCCAGGACUCCUGCGGUGUCUGCUUCUGGCAUCUCUUUGCUGUAUUUUUUUCCCCUCUCUUUCUUAAACUUAAUCUCCAUUCUGUAGCUGGGAUGAUCCUGAUAACUAUAAAUCAGAUGGUCACUCCAUAACUUAGAACAUUUCAGCAGUGUCCCAUCACAUUUAAAAUAAAAUGCCAAUCUGCUGCCUUGGCCUAAAGUGCUUUGAGAUACCUGGCCUCUACCCCACAUUCCGGCGUCACCUCAGGCCCUUUCCUCAACCGCCAUUUUCCAACCAGACUGGCCUUUGUAUCAGAUCCUUAUACACCACCUUCAUGCCUUAGGGCCUUCUUUCUGGAAGAAACUUUGCCUCGAUCACUUUAGAGCUAAUUUUUCAACUUUUAGGUCUUAGCUUCAGGAUCAAGCAUCAGAGGGCCUUCCCUGACAACCUGUAGCUAAACAAAUGCCCCUUCCCAUUCUCAACACCAUUAUGCCCAGUUUUUGUAUUUUGUGGUACUUUCCCCAGUUUGUUUGUUUACUCAUUUAUUGAUUCUUUUUCCUCACAGAAUUUUAACCUAUGGGUCAAGAAAUUGCCUCAGUGCCUGGCAACAGUGAUUGACACAUAACAGGCAUUUAAUAAUAAAUGUACAUAUAUAAGCCAUCAUUUGAAUGACCCUCUACCCUUGCCCCCAUCCAUUCAUUGCCUUAGUAGUAACCAGUCAGGCGAGAAACAGAGCCACCACAGGACCAGGCCUUGGCGUAGGACCAGAGGGUUCGUGGAUGGCCACUCUUAGGGCUGGAGCCUUGCCCCACCCCGUAGUGCUCAGUGGUGAAGAAAAGCAGAGAUAGUGGAACUGUUUGAUAAUGUAGGAGGGCCCUUUAGCUUUGUAGUCUGGUGAUCCCUAAAUGCAGAGCUCAAGCGGUUUUGGGUUUGUCUGAGUCCCACGGCUGGGCAAGAAAUGGGAGGGGAGCUGGAAUCCUUGAAGGAAUGAAGAGGGGAGCGAUGAUAGCUCUCUCCCCUCUGUCUCCCUGCAGAUAGUCCUCUUGAUAGUUUGUCAUCAGAUUUGUGUAUUUGAGGGUCUGCCUCCUCUGUUAGUUGGUGAGCCCCAGGAGGGCUAGAACCCUGUCUUUUGCUUGCACAUACCACAAUUCAUUUGUGAUAGUGAUAGCCAAUCCAGUGCUUUGCAUUUACUCCUCCAGACAACUCUAAGAGGAAAGUAUGUAAUUAUUCCCAUUUUAUGAGGAGGAAACAGGCCCAGAGAGGUUAAGUAAGUAAAAUGCCGAAGGCCACAGAAAGGGCUCAGAUUUAAAUUCUGGCCAUCCAGCCCCAGAGCCUGAAUUUCAGCCAUUAGUCUAGUGAGUGUGCCAAGGCCUGUGGCAAUGCAAGCCCUAUGCCUGGGAGGUUGGGGGGGGUGCAAAGCAGUGUGGUUCGGAUUUGGCCUGAAUCCUCAAAAGGGCCUGUGAACCUAAGACACUGCUGAUUGAGAUCAUGUCAGCAGACCUUUCCCUCUUCUGUAGGUUCCUGGGACUGGUCUGUCAUUUCUUGCACUUCAGUUCUCAGGGGCGUUAGAGCAUAGAUAGCCCUGAUCUUAAAGCCCUGAGAUGAAUUCUUCUGACAAGCUGACAGCAAUUCCUAAGAAUGUAUUUUUAUUUCUCCCUUACUCCUCCCAAAUCUCCUAGGGCAGGAGACUUCUUAUCUCUGAGGACUGGAUAUGUGAGCCAAAUCAUGAGGCCAGUUUUGGGCAAGCUGCUUCCCUUUUCUGCCCGAAGAAGCUGUGGUCAGUGUGUUGAGUGCCCUGAGGGCCUCAUAUCUUUCUAUGCCACAUUGUGUAACUUCACUGUGGCUGGAAAUCAGAGGAAGGGGUAGAGUUGAGGCUGCCAUAGGCCUACAAGGCAGAGCAAGGCUUGGACCAGAUCAGAGCUGUGGCUCUGUAGGUCUCUCCCCUACCACCUUAGGGAGUGUGUUGCAGCAGAACCCAGGGAGUUCUCAAAUACCACCUAGGGACAUCUGGCCAUUUUUCGCCCAGGCAGCAGCAGUUUUUAAAUCCAGCUGGGGUUUAUUUUGCCUCCCACUUGAAGCACCUCACGGACUGCUUCUACUGUGGCUGGGCCUUGUUUGGGUGGGUGCCCAGAACCCACCUCAAAUCGCUGUCAGAAAGAAAUCCAUGGAGAUGGAAGGCCUGGGGUAUUCAUUAUUCUUUUUCUCAAACAGCCAGGGACAUCCCCUUGGCCUUCGUCAUCUCUCAGAACCAUUUCACUCUCUGUGGGCUACUGAUAAAGUAUAUUUCCAUUUCAAAAGAGAGAAAUAUUAAAAGAAUUUCAACUUAAAGCAUAAAGAAUGAGAGAGUUUUGGUAGGAUGGCAUAAUUGCCCUUCUCUGAAUUCUCAGUGUUUUUACAUUUCUUGUAGCAAUUCCAUUUUCACUGUUAUCUUCCUCUUCAGAUAUCCGAGACCUUAUCUCAUCUUCCCUGCCCCCCAGCACUCAGUGGUGCCUCAUGCAAAGCCCUUAGGCCGGGCCCAACCCAUACGGCAAAUGUUAGGGUGGAAGAGGCACAGCCCAUCCCAUUAUUUACUGCUUCAUCAACCAGCCUCAGGGAUAUAAACCCUGCCCCCUCGACUGCCCCUUGAAUCACAUGUCCUUAUGCGUGGUCCUCUUCCUGAUUUUUUCUUCCUUUAAACAAAACAUAACUCAGUUGGCUUCAUGGCUUCAUGGUCAGGGGAGAGACCUGUUCUACGUCAAAUUCCACACUUUUGUUCCUCUCCAGUCAAUGAUCUUUUACGAGAAAUGAGUCUGAUCCUGUUACCCUCAAACAUAAACCCUUUAACAGCUUCCAGUUAGUCUUAGGGUCAGGGUGAAAUUGAAAUCCCUUACACAACCUACAAGGCUCUCAUGAACUGGGCCUGUAACUUACCCCUUCAGUUUUCUACUGCAGAUUUUCUUUUGCCACAGAGCUCUUUUUCUGGUUCCUGAUGGGUGCCACUUCAUCCUGAUCAGGGGUCUUCAUGUGACUUGGAAUAACAACAGCCCCAUCUUCCCCCAGACCCCCAAAGAAUCACUAUUAGGUUUUCAGUGUCCUGUACUUGUCCCUCCAUAGUACUUAUCACAGAUGUAAUUAAGGUUUGCCUCUAUGGAGAACUACACGUCACAUUUAUCACCCAAAUCCUGGCUCAUACAGUUCAAAUACUGCUAGAUGAAUUCAGGAACUUUUAGUGAGAGGCCUUAUAGGACUCUAAAAUGGUCUAUGAGAAAUGUGGUCUUGGUGCAUAAAAGGGAUUUUGUACCCACAACAUGCAAUUUUUCAUGUAAGAACUGAGGUUUAGAAAUAAACAUUUGUUCCUAACUCAACAGUCUUCUUCCAAAGCCUGAAAACUAACCUUUCCCAGUGUUACCUAUUUUGCGGAGAAUGAAAGGAUUUUCUAAGGGAAAGCAUAUAGGAUUCUGUGAGGCUUUUUUCCUGAUAUUAUGGAACUUACUUAACCAUAUAAACUGUGCUAAUACAGUAGUCAUUAGCCACAUUUUGAGUCCUUAGUAGCCUUGUGUGGCUAACUGAAAUAAAAAACUCAGUUUCUCAGCUUCACUUUUUAAUUACCUAAUAGCCACACGUAGCUUGUGGCUGCAGAUACAGAACACUUUCAACAUUGCCCAAAGUUUUAUUGGACAGUGCUGACAUAGAACUAUUUUACGGAAUAUAAUCUGUUUGUCUGACAGAAAUCAAGAUGUUAUACUACUUUGUUGGCAGAGGACUGGAGAUUUUGGUGAAGCCAGCAAAACUUGUACAUUAUUUAUGUUCUGCCUGAUGUGUUGCAUGUCAGUCACAAGGAAACCUCAGCAUCUUUGCUUCACUUUCUAGAAGAGGGACAGUCCUGCCGAUUCAGGGAAUGUUAGAACCAAACUGGGCCUCGUGUACUUCACAACUUGUGGGAGUGUCUGUACUGACAGGUUAACCUCUCUAGCUAGUUGCACCCUACCCCCAAAAAUCAGGGAAAUUUUUGCUUCACCCAUGUCAGGAUUAUUUUAAGUAUAAAAUAUGUGGGGAAAAAACUGUAAUUACAGGUAGUGAGAAUUUAUAUGUCAACAUUUCCAUACAGGAUACAGUAAAGCUUAGUAGGGUUGAGUCCGUCAUUAAACUCCCCUUUAUGGAGAUUUCAAACAAUAAUAAAACAUCCAUAAAUCUUUUUAAAAAAGUUUAGAGGACACAUUUCAUUGCAGAAUGUUGUCACUGCCAAUCACUAAUACCUUUUCUCUUAAAAUAUUGUCAUGUGGUCCCCUUUUUUGAUCUAACAGCUGUCAUUCAUUUUAAUCCUAGCAGGUUAUCAACACCAUGGGAAGAGAGAAUUCUUAAAACAGUGUGCAAGACCUCUGUGAUACAAGGCUACUGUCACUGUAACAAAGGGCAUACAGAUAUUAUGAAGAACUAUAAUUUAAUGUUUGGGUCCAACAAAAACAGAAGAUGCCAAGAUCUCGAAUAUGGCCAACUGCACUAUUCUAAAUUUGUUUCAUUUAAGUCUUUCAUAGUAAACAAGUUUUCAAAAACGACAAUCACAAA